GUAAUGGUGUCUUUAGACACCACCUCUAUCUUGUAAUACGAGCUCU
rfam:Picea glauca, whole genome shotgun sequence.